UACGAAGGGGGGCUAGCGUUGCUCGGAAUCACUGGGCGUAAAGCGCACGUAGGCGGAUCGUUAAGUCAGGGGUGAAAUCCUGGAGCUCAACUCCAGAACUGCCCUUGAUACUGGCGGUCUCGAGUCCGGGAGAGGUGAGUGGAACUGCGAGUGUAGAGGUGAAAUUCGUAGAUAUUCGCAAGAACACCAGUGGCGAAGGCGGCUCACUGGCCCGGUACUGACGCUGAGGUGCGAAAGCGUGGGGAGCAAACAGG
rnacentral:rRNA from 1 species